AGGAAACAAUGGAGACCCAGAGAGGGGAAAGUGACUUUCCCAAAUGUAGUGGGAAAAGUAUUGAGUUUGGAGCCAUGGGACCUGAGCUUGAGACCCAACUCUGAGGCUUACUAGCUGGGUGACUUUGAGCAAAUUGUUUCACCUCCGGGACACCAUUUCCUCAUCUGUGAAAUGAGAGGGCUGGACUAGAGGGCCUUUAACUUCCCAUCUAGAUCUUUGACUGUGACUAUGACACAGGUGGGCACUGCUUCUGCAAUUUAUAGUCCUAGAGAGUGGCCUAGAGCAGAGAAGUCGAACUAACAGCCCACAAAACUCGGGGAACCAGAUUAAUGUGUAAUUGGGGAAUGUUUAACAAGGAGGAGGUUCCCUAAACUCUUGCGUGUGGACUGGCAAUGGGCAGGGUAUAUGCUGUGCCUGCUCCAAAGAUGGGACUUGACACUCUUACACACAGACACAGACACAGACACAGAUACAGACACAGACACAGACACAAAGAGACACACAGAAACUGGAAAAAAAAAGAAGCAAUAGUAAUCUACUGCAAAGAAAGCAGUGUCAGGAAAACCCAAGGAACGAAGAGUAUCCAGGAGGAAGGAAUGGUCAGCAGUGUCAAAUGCUUUAGAGAGGGAUCAAGAAGCAUGAGGACCAAGAACAGGCCAGUGAUUUGGAAAUGAAGAAAUCAUUGUUGAGUUCUGUUAAUGCAACCCAGACUGCUAAUUU